GCCGGUCCUCGGUAGUGGCCCCCGGGGGAAGUGAGCCCCGAGGGCUUCGAUCGAAGACCGGC
rfam:Streptomyces sp. MMG1533 P407contig90.1, whole genome shotgun sequence.